UACGGAGGGAGCAAGCGUUAUCCGGAAUCACUGGGCGUAAAGGGCGCGUAGGUGGUCUGUUAAGUCUGGCGUUAAAGCCUGGGGCUCAACCCCAGAUCAGCGUUGGAUACUGGCAGGCUAGACGGUUGGAGAGGCGAGUGGAAUUACCAGUGUAGCGGUGGAAUGCGUAGAUACUGGUAGGAACACCCAUUGCGAAGGCAGCUCGCUGGACAACACGUGACACUGAGGCGCGAAAGUGUGGGGAGCAAACCGGAUUAGAUACCCU
rnacentral:rRNA from 1 species